CCUACGGGUGGCUGCAGUGGGGAAUCUUGCACAAUGGGGGAAACCCUGAUGCAGCAACGCCGCGUGAGCGAUGAAGUCUUUCGGUAUGUAAAGCUCUAUCAGCAGGGAAGAAGGUGACGGUACCUGACUAGAAAGCCCCGGCUAACUACGUGCCAGCAGCCGCGGUAAUACGUAGGGGGCAAGGGUUAUCCGGAUUUAAUGGGGGUAAAGGGGGCGGAGACUGCGAUGCAAGCCAGAUGUGAAAGCCUGGGGCUCAACCCCGGGACUGCAUUUGGAACUGUGUGGCUGGAGUGUCGGAGAGGCAGGCGGAAUUCCUAGUGCAGCGGUGAAAUGCGUAGAUAUUAGGAGGAACACCAGUGGCGAAGGCGGCCUGCUGGACGAUGACUGACGCUGAGGCUCGAAAGCGUGGGGAGCAAACAGGAUUAGAUACCCGAGUAGUC
rnacentral:rRNA from 1 species